rnacentral:rRNA from 1 species
AGCAGCCGCGGUAAUUCCAGCUCCAAUAGCGUAUAUUAAAGUUGUUGCAGUUAAAAAGCUCGUAGUUGAAUUUCGGGGUUAGUAGGUUGGUCAUGCCUCCGGUAUGUACUGGUCUCACUGAUUCCUCCUUCCUGAUGAACCGUGAUGCCAUUAAUUUGGUGUUGCGGGGAAUUUGGACUGUUACUUUGAAAAAUUAGAGUGUUUAAAGCAAGCUAACGCUUGAAUACAUUAGCAUGGAAUAAUGAAAUAGGACGUUCGAUCAUAUUUUGUUGGUUUCUAGGAUUGACGUAAUGAUUAAUAGGGAUAGUUGGGGGCAUUAGUAUUCAAUUGUCAGAGGUGAAAUUCUUGGAUUUAUUGAAGACUAACUACUGCGAAAGCAUUUGCCAAGGAUGUUUUCAUUAAUCAAGAACGAAAGUUAGGGGAUCGAAGACGAUCAGAUACCGUCGUAGU